CUACGGGACGCUGCAGUGAGGAAUUUUGCGCAAUGGGGGCAACCCUGACGCAGCAACGCCGCGUGAGUGAUGAAGGCUUUCGGGUCGUAAAGCUCUGUCGAGCGGGAAGAAAAAGUCUGAUGCUAAUAUCAUCAGGCAUUGACGGUACCGCUGAAGGAAGCACCGGCUAACUCCGUGCCAGCAGCCGCGGUAAUACGGGGGGUGCAAGCGUUAUUCGGAAUUAUUGGGCGUAAAGAGCGCGUAGGCGGCUCCAUAAGUCAGAUGUGAAAGCCCGGGGCUUAACCCCGGAAGUGCAUUUGAAACUAUAGGGCUUGAGUAUGGGAGAGGGAAGUGGAAUUCCUGGUGUAGAGGUGAAAUUCGUAGAUAUCAGGAGGAACACCGGUGGCGAAGGCGACUUCCUGGACCAAUACUGACGCUGAGGCGCGAAGGCGUGGGGAGCAAACAGGAUUAGAUACCCUAGUAGUC
rnacentral:rRNA from 1 species